CUUCGGAGUAAAUUUUUAAUUUACGUACUAAUAAGUGUACAUUUUUAUUAAAAUCCAUAUGAAUAUAAGCCACUUUUUUAAAWAUWUUUAAAAAUUCAUAUGGUCGGAUUCUAUUUAGUUUUGAGAGUUUAUUCUCUCCCAUAAUAAUUAAUUUAUUAUGGAUGAUCGAUCUUUGAAAACUGAAUAAUUAUCAACAAAUCUUUCUAAUCAUUGACAUUAAGUUGUCAGUGAACAGAAACUAUAUUAAAUUAAAUAUAGUUAACAAUCAUAAAUAAACAACUUUAAGGAUUUAUAAUAAGUUA
rnacentral:misc_RNA from 4 species